UCUACUAAUAAUAGCAAUCCCAAUUAAUUCCAAAGGUUGUGAGUCCACUUAUGUUGAAAGGUUGUGUCUUUUGAAAAAGAAGUGUAAAGAGUUGUGUCUUUUCUAAAAGUUCUAUGUUGGAAGGUUGUGUCUUUUCCAAUUAAUUUCUAAGGUUGUGAAUCCACUUAUGUUGAAAGGUUGUAUCUUUUGAAAAACUAGUGUAAAGGGUUGUGUCUUUUCUAAAAGUUCUAUGUUGUAAGGUUGUGUCUUUUCCAAUUAAUUCUUAAGGUUGUGAACUUCAAUUAUGUUGAAAGAUUGUGUCUUUUGAAAAAUAUGUGUAGAGGGUUGUGUUUUUUUCUAAAAGUUAUAUGUUGUAAGGUUGUGUCCUUCUAAAAAUAGUCUAAAAGUUGUGACUAUUCACUAGUAUCUUUUAAAAAGUGAGAAGUUGUGAGUAUUACAAGAAUGCGACUAUUCAUAUUGAAGGGUUGUGACUAUUCAAAUAGGCUUUAAAAAAUCUAUAAAUAGUCUCUCCCAUGCAUUUUUCAAAUCAAAUUUUCACUAAUCUACUAAUAAUAAAAUGGAAAAAAAAAUAAUGUCAAAGUUGUAACUUUUCAUCUAAACAAGGUGUCUUUUCAUCUCAAAGUGGGAUUGCUUUAAAAAAUAUUGGUUUUAUUUAAGUAAUGUGUUAGUUUAUAUAAUAAUUGUUGGUAUUUUAUAAGAACUCUCUCAAAAAUUAAAAAAAAAUAUUAUAAAUGAGACGGGUCAUAUUAACGUAAAUCAACAUAUAUUUAUUACAAUAUUCAAUUUUCUAAAUAUUCAUUUUUAAUAAAUAAAGCAGGUAGAUAAAUAUACAAAAUAACAAUUACCAACAUAUAAAUUAUAAUUGUUUAAAAUUAUAAACUAAUAAUUUUAAUAUUAUGUCUUAAAUAGGAAAAAAAAUUAUAUAUCAUGCAAAAAAAAAGUUGCAUUUUGUUCAAAAAGUGGUUGAAGAUAACUAUCAUGUGAAAAAUGUAUGAAAAAACUUAAAAAGGAUGAAGACACAAUUGUAUGCAAUAUGUGUUUUGAUAAAAAAUUAAAGGGAACAUUAAGGUUUAUAAAA